rnacentral:rRNA from 1 species
GAUGAACGCUGGCGGCGUGCCUAAUACAUGCAAGUCGAGCGAACGGACGAGAAGCUUGCUUCUCUGAUGUUAGCGGCGGACGGGUGAGUAACACGUGGAUAACCUACCUAUAAGACUGGGAUAACUUCGGGAAACCGGAGCUAAUACCGGAUAAUAUUUUGAACCGCAUGGUUCAAAAGUGAAAGACGGUCUUGCUGUCACUUAUAGAUGGAUCCGCGCUGCAUUAGCUAGUUGGUAAGGUAACGGCUUACCAAGGCAAUGAUGCAUAGCCGACCUGAGAGGGUGAUCGGCCACACUGGAACUGAGACACGGUCCAGACUCCUACGGGAGGCAGCAGUAGGGAAUCUUCCGCAAUGGGCGAAAGCCUGACGGAGCAACGCCGCGUGAGUGAUGAAGGUCUUCGGAUCGUAAAACUCUGUUAUUAGGGAAGAACAUAUGUGUAAGUAACUGUGCACAUCUUGACGGUACCUAAUCAGAAAGCCACGGCUAACUACGUG